UACGAAGGGUGCAAACGUUGCUCGGAAUUACUGGGCGUAAAGCGCACGUAGGCGGCUUUCUAAGUCGGGGGUGAAAUCCUGGAGCUCAACUCCAGAACUGCCUUCGAUACUGGAGAGCUCGAGUCCGGGAGAGGUGAGUGGAACUGCGAGUGUAGAGGUGAAAUUCGUAGAUAUUCGCAAGAACACCAGUGGCGAAGGCGGCUCACUGGCCCGGUACUGACGCUGAGGUGCGAAAGCGUGGGGAGCAAACAGG
rnacentral:rRNA from 1 species